CCUACGGGGGGCAGCAGUGGGGAAUAUUGGGCAAUGGGCGGAAGCCUGACCCAGCAACGCCGCGUGAAGGAAGAAGGCUUUCGGGUUGUAAACUUCUUUUCUCAGGGACGAAACAAGUGACGGUACCUGACGAAUAAGCCACGGCUAACUACGUGCCAGCAGCCGCGGUAAUACGUAGGUGGCAAGCGUUAUCCGGAUUUACUGGGUGUAAAGGGCGUGUAGGCGGGAAAGCAAGUCAGAUGUGAAAACCAUGGGCUCAACCUGUGGCCUGCUGUGGAAACUGUAUGUCUUGAGUGCAGGAGAGGCAGGCGGAAUUCCUAGUGUAGCGGUGAAAUGCGUAGAUAUUAGGAGGAACACCAGUGGCGAAGGCGGUCUGCUGGACAGCAACUGACGCUGAGGCGCGAAAGCGUGGGGAGCAAACAGGAUUAGAUACCCCUGUAGUC
rnacentral:rRNA from 1 species